AUGUGACUCUCUUCUGGGCCAGGCACGAAGUUCACCCGUAUAUCCCUAAAGCUCGGAUAUGCUACUCGUGCUAUAGAGCUGGUCACGUCAGUGCUGCCUGUUGCAGUCAGCCACGCUGCAUUGCGGCAAUGCCCCACAUGGCAACAAAGUCAUCUGCCCGCUUAAGGAAGACACACCGUGCUGCAUAAAUUGUUCGGAUUUCCAGGCUUCUUAUGCACGAAUAGCAGCAGGCUUAUCCCCAAGGCAGCAUAGGUCGCAGUCAAACCAUAACGUUAGAAAAUCGGCUGCUCCUCCUCCUAUUAACGAGGCACAAUCCCACAGGAGUGCCGCGGAGGGCAGGGAUCUUCCUCUUCAUAAUUUCGAUAGAUGUCCGCCUUCUUCUUCGGGCAACGAAGUCUGUUUCCAGCCAAAUUUCACCAGCACGCGCAAUACCAAUUCAAACCCAAACUUGCACGGGGGAAACUCCUCCCCUCCCUCCUUCAAUCAGAAUUCGAAUAGAGAAUCAAGUGACUUUGAGGCUCUUUUAGAUCUUCUCAACUCCUGUGGUGGAUUAGUUCCAACAAUUCAACGUCUCAGCAGUAUACGGUUUUUCCGCAACGCCCCUCGCAGGCCUCCCAUCCGUCCGAUGGGGCGAGCAACUUUUAU